rnacentral:rRNA from 1 species
CAAUAGCGUAUAUUAAAGUUGUUGCGGUUAAAAGCUCGUAGUUGGAUUUCUGCUGAGGACGAUCGGUCCGCCUCUGGGUGAGCAUUGACUCGGCCUUGGCAUCUUCUUGGAGAACGCUACUGCACUUGACUGUGUGGUGCGGUAUCCAGGACUUUUACUUUUGAGGAAAUUAGAGUGUUUCAAGCAGGCGCACGCCUUGAAUACAUUAGCAUGGAAUAAUAAGAUAGGACCUUGGUUCUAUUUUGUUGGUUUCUAGAGCUGAGGUAAUGAUUAAUAGGGAUAGUUGGGGCAUUCGUAUUUAACUGUCAGAGGUGAAAUUCUUGGAUUUGUUUAAAAGACGGGACUACUGCGAAAAGCAUUUGCCAAGGAUGUUUUUCAUUGACAAGAACGAAAGUUAGGGGAUCAAGAUGAUCA